CUAAGUUCCACUCAGAGUAGACCCACUGAAACCAAUGGACUUAAAUUAGCAGUAUCCAUUGAUUUCAUUGGGCCUACACUGAGUGGAACUUAG